rnacentral:rRNA from 1 species
CCUACGGGUGGCAGCAGUGGGGAAUAUUGGACAAUGGGGGCAACCCUGAUCCAGCCAUGCCGCGUGUGUGAAGAAGGCCCUCGGGUUGUAAAGCACUUUCAGUGAGGAAGAACGCCUGGUGGUUAAUACCCAUCAGGAAAGACAUCACUCACAGAAGAAGCACCGGCUAACUCCGUGCCAGCAGCCGCGGUAAUACGGAGGGUGCGAGCGUUAAUCGGAAUUACUGGGCGUAAAGCGCGCGUAGGUGGCUUGAUAAGCCGGUUGUGAAAGCCCCGGGCUCAACCUGGGAACGGCAUCCGGAACUGUCAAGCUAGAGUGCAGGAGAGGAAGGGAGAAUUCCCGGUGUAGCGGUGAAAUGCGUAGAGAUCGGGAGGAAUACCAGUGGCGAAGGCGGCCUUCUGGACUGACACUGACACUGAGGUGCGAAAGCGUGGGUAGCAAACAGGAUUAGAUACCCCGGUAGUC